ensembl:lncRNA
CGCGGCUCAGGUUGCGAGGCGGCAGCCCCCGGCCCGCCUCCCCUGCUUCCUGCCCACCUCCCCGGGCGGAGAGCACCGGCCCGGCCGCCUCCUCCGUCCCCUCCCCGUCCCCGUCCCUCUCCCUUCCCUCCCGGCCCCGCUGCCAGGGGCGAAGCCGCCCGCCGGGCCCCGCGGCUUUUUCUCUUGGAUUUUAUUACUGGAAAACUCUCUAAUGACAACUUUGCUUAGGUAAGUGAAGCAAGAUUUUUUCCUGUGGAUUUUUUUAGAAUCACUUCCCCUAUCUUAACU